rnacentral:tRNA from 1 species
GGAGUUGUGGCUCAGUGGUAGAGUGUUUGCCUAGCACAUGUGAGGCCCUGGAUUUGAUCCUCAGCACCACAUAAAAAUAAAUAAAUGAUUUUUAAAAAAAGAAUAGAUCAGGGUCUGGGGAUAUAGCUCAGUUGAUAGAGUGUUUACCUUGCAUGCACAAGGCCCUGGGUUCAAUCCCCAGCACCA